UACGUAGGGGGCGAGCGUUGUCCGAAGUUACUGGGCGUAAAGAGCGCGUAGGCGGGUCUCUAAGUCCGCUGUGAAGGCCCGGGGCUCAACCCCGGAGGGUCGGCGGAUACUGGAGGUCUUGAAGUUGCUAGGGGGAGAUGGAAUUGCCGGUGUAGCGGUGAAAUGCGUAGAUAUCGGUAGGAACACCAGUGGCGAAGGCGGUCUCCUGGGGCACACUUGACGCUGAGGCGCGAAAGCUGGGGGAGCAAACGGG
rnacentral:rRNA from 1 species